UACGAAGGGGGCUAGCGUUGUUCGGAAUUACUGGGCGUAAAGCGCGCGUAGGCGGUGAUCUAUGUCAGGGGUGAAAUCCCGGGGCUUAACCCCGGAAUUGCCUUUGAAACGGGAUCGCUAGAGUCCGAGAGAGGAUGGCGGAAUUCCUAGUGUAGAGGUGAAAUUCGUAGAUAUUAGGAAGAACACCGGUGGCGAAGGCGGCCAUCUGGCUCGGUACUGACGCUCGGGCGCGAAAGCGUGGGGAGCAAACAGG
rnacentral:rRNA from 1 species